UAUUUUUCUUCUGCCUGUGAGUUGUUGUUGUUUGAGUGGAAUGAAUUGGUGAGGAUGAGUUGCAGAGAGAGGUGAAUUGAGAGAGAUUGGUGAAGAAAAUGGGGAGUGUGAAGAGAUGAAGGGGAAGUUAGAGUGAGAGAGUGAUGAAGGAGGUGGUUAUGGUGGUGGAGAGAGUGAAGAUGGAGAAUGGUGAUGAAGUGUUGGUGAAUGAGCGUGUGUGUUGCAGAGAGAGUUGAAGGUGAAUGGGAGGAAGAUGAGAGGUGAUGAAUGAAUGGUGAAUCAGUGAAAAUGGCGUGGGGAAGAGAAUUGGAGAGUGAGAGGUGAUGAGGGAAUGGAGAAGGUGAUGGUGAAGGGUGGAUGUGAAGGUUUUUGGUGUCUGGUUGAAGAUGAAGAUGGUUCUGUUUAUAUAGGUUGAUGGAGGUGAAUGUUAGUUAGAGGGGGAAGGAUGAGGGCCGUUGGAUUUUGAUUUUCGGUUAUGAGAUCAGAGGGUGGAGAUUUGUCAGUUAUGAGUUAGUUAGCUUAGUUAUAGAGAGGCUUGGAGGUAGUUAUAUUUCUGUUAUGGAUAUUAGAAGUGGUGAAAGGUUUGUUAGGACUUGGUUGGAACAGUUAUGCAGUUAAUUUGAAGGGUGGUUAAAUUCUGUUAUCAAUCAGUAGGUUAGCUAUGAAUUGGUUUAGGGGUUGUUAGGAAAACUGUUUUUCUGUUACUCGUUGGUUAUAGAACUAUGGGAAGUUAGUUAUAACAGAACUGGAAUCGGUUAGGUUGUUAAAAUUAGUUACAAAACUGUUAUAGGGAGUUGGGAAUCGAAACUGUUAGGUUAAAAGUCUGUUAAGGAAAAUAGGUUAAACAAACUGUUUAAGACCCGAUAUACAGGGCUGCCAAUGAAUGUAUGGUUCACUUGAAUUGGGUCAUUGCAAUGUUUCUGAACUGUUUUGGCUUGGCUGAUUAUGAACCGGUUUAUGUUGCAGGUUUUCUUCAGGUUGGGGUGCAGUUUGGUAACUGUUUAUAUUUGUUUUGAUGCUGAACCGAUUUAAAAUUGAGUAUGAUAUGGGGCUGUUUGUAUUUGAACUUGGAAUUGUUUUGAUGUGGUGAUGCAGGUGCAGUAACAUGGACAGCACAUGGGAAGCUGUAUGAUAUGAAGAUGGAAGACAUAUGACAUAUAUGGGGGAUCGAUUUUACGAGGACAAGAUGUGAAGCACACUUGAAAUUUUCCUUUUUUUGAUGAAUUUGCGAAGUAUGUAUGUAGCAGGAUUCAAUUUGAUGAGGGACUGAAGUGGACUUGGUUCGACAUAUUUCCGCGGACAGAAUUGGGGGCAGCAGUCUGAGUUGAUUUUUCGAUGAUGAUGGAUGGCAUGUUUUAUUGUAAUUUUUGUAAACAAUUGGAUUUGAAUGAAUGAAUCUUGUUUGAAACUCAUAUGAAAUGCUUUGGCUCCAUGUUCAUUUCAAUAUGCUUGCCUGAGACAUCCUUAAAGACUUUUGUAAGAUUGAAUCAUUCAUGA